ACUGGGAGACGCAGUGCAAACUGCCACUCUGCCGUUCAAAGGAAAAGGCCAGGUGCACGUCUCUCCUCUCUCCAUGGAUUCCAUCAAGGGCUACAGCUGAACAAGACUUGGUGUUCCUUAUGCCUUAGGGGGUAAAGGAUCUGCUCACAAGCCAGAAUUCAAACGAAGGCCAAAGGAGCAUCUGGUAUCGCCUGCAUCUUUGGGGAAGCCCUUCCAGGGACUGCCUGGGGGGACUGGGGGUGGCAUCUUGAGUAAGAAAUGCUGGAGGAAGACAGCAGGUGCUUCAAGGGUGCCAGGCCACUCCGAGAUCUGCUGGCCCUGAAUGAUUUCAUUCUCCCUUUCCAGGGGCCUUGGACUACAAGCAGGAGAGGGCUUGAGACCGACCCCUAUAAACAUCACAGUAAGCCAACACAUGGGACUGAGGCGACAGCCUCACACCUUAGAUCAUUCCAGGCAGACAUGGAAAAGAGUCACGAAAGGAUUCUGCCCCCUGAGUCCUCCUCCUGUAAAAGCUUUCAGAUUAAAAGUUCCAGAGACCGAGGAAUUAAGCUACCAUCAAAACUUCACCCCAUCAGGAUGUGUUGGAUCAAAGAAAAAUCUGAGGAAGAGUGUUUUGGGAACAUCUGAGCUCUUAUUUGUAGAGGUUUGUAUUUUUUUAGAAAAAAAAAUGUGCUGCCUUUUGAUUUACAGCUAUUUACAUUUCUCUGGUCUGAUAAUAUCAACUGAACAGUCAUGCUUCGUGCAAAUGAUGUGUUAGGGACAAUAGAGCAUUAUGCAUGUCUGAGAUAUUCCUAGCUCAAAACUGGGCUUAGAUCAGAACAAAAGGCCAACAACUGUGCCAAGGUGUCAACCAAAGAGCUACAAAAAAUGCCAACUGGAAUGGUUUCACAUUCUAAGUGCUCACUGCAAUCUGAUUUUCAGCCAUAGAUUUAUGAAAUUAGCCUUGUCUUGAUUCAAGAAGCCUUUGUAGUGCAUAUUAUUUCUUCCUAUGUUUUCUGUGCCUAAGAUUUAAUUCCUUAAAACACUAACUCACUGAUUUGGAACAUUCAGUAGAGUGAAUAAAUUUAGUUGAAUAAAGCUGACAAUAGACUACCUCCUAUAGUUUUUUUAAAAAUUAAUUUAUUUAUUAGAAAGGUAUUGGUACCACCUUCAGGCAAAUGGUAGUUGUCAGUUCAAUUUCAGAUUCAGUGAACAGUACAGAACAGCUUAAGAAGAACAUGGGCUCAUAAGCCAGACUGCCUCAGGAUCAGGAUGUGGGUUUGGUAGUUUUCCUACUUCUUUUUUUUUUUUUUUUUAAAGAUUUAUUUAUUUAUUUAAUUUCCCCCCCUCCCCUGGUUGUCUGUUCUUGGUGUUUAUUUGCUGCGUCUUGUUUCUUUGUCCGCUUCUGUUGUCGUCAGCGGCACGGGAAGUGUGGGCGGCGCCAUUCCUGGGCAGGCUGCUCUUUCUUUUUCACGCUGGGCGGCUCUCCUCACGGGCGCACUCCUUGCGCGUGGGGCUCCCCCACGCGGGGGACACCCUUGCGUGGCACGGCACUCCUUGCGCGCAUCAGCACUGCGCAUGGCCAGCUCCACACGGGUCAAGGAGGCCCGGGGUUUGAACCGCGGACCUCCCAUGUGGUAGACGGAUGCCCUAACCACUGGGCCAAAGUCCGUUUCCCUCCUACUUCUUAAUGUCACUUUCAGACCAUUACUCCUCUGUCCUCAUGGAAAAAGUCCUGCCUGUUCCCUUGCUCUAUUUCUUCUCAUCUCUGUCACCUACUAAACCUCUGGUCACUUUUGUAUGUGCACUGGUGACUUCAUUCCAUGGCUCAAAGCAUUCCAAUCAAAUCCCACCUUCAUCCGGGUGACUACAGUGUUUGUGUGCAUGACUCAUUCAACCCCUGUUCUCACAGUUCCUUGACAGCCUCAUCUCCAGUGACCUUGACCUCUACUCUCCUUAACUAUCCACACCCAGGGCCACAAUCUGGCCUCUUCACCAAGUCUGAAAUGUUAGAUACAAUGCCCAAACUCUAAACACAACCUCUCAUUCCUUGCUCUCUCAUACUGCUUUGUUCUCACCACACUUACUUUCUCUCAGAUACUUUCAAGCCCUUUCAUUUCAGACUUUAUUUUUUCCUAGUCCAUCAUGGCUCUCCUGUCUUCUCCUCCACCUCUCUUCAGUUAAGAUCAGGUAAGCAGUCAUUUCCAAACACUGUCUUCCUAUAUGCUCAACUAUUUGGCCUUUGGCUAUACCCAUCCGGCAAAAUCCCUAAUCAGAGUCAGGCCCACUCUCAUUUCCCAAAACUAAACACCUACGUAGGGUACCACACCCUACUGGAGAAAAACUGUGUGCAGAAUACCCUACAAAUCUAAGGUCUUUGGCCUCAGUUGGGCCCUCAGCACUGUCCAGGAAUCUCUGUACGUGUCCCAUGUCAACUCUUCAGCUUCUAUAGAAAGUAGUUCCUUCCAGCCCUGGCCCAUGCUUGGCAUAAGUAGGAACUCAAUUUUUUGUGUGUGUGUGCAUAAAAGGUUGCUCACCAGAGCUUUGAAUUCCAUCAUUUCAUGACCUCUCAAGGCCUAAUGCUAUCAAUUAUUCCUCCACUUAUCUGCAGCUUUCACUCCCUUUUCUCUUUUCUCCUAGCUCUUUUACCUCAGAACUUAUACUUCCUCUUCUUAAAAAAACAAUUCAUAUAAAUCCUACACCCCCUCUAGCUAAAGCCUUAUGUCUCAUCUUUCCUUUAUAACUCUACAAUUUGGGGAGAAAAAAGCUUCAUUCAAUACCCCCACUGCCUUUCACCUCAAUGCCGCACCCCUACCAUUUCACUGAACCUGCUUUCCAAUUCUUGUCAGGGCCACCAGUGACCUUCCAGUUGUCAUGUUCAAUGUCACUUUUCAGAACUUGUCUACAUGCCCAUCCACAGCAUUUGGCAUCACACAUCACUACUCCCUCCUCCUUAAAAAGUUCUUUAAUCCUCAACCACCAUCCUCCUCUCCCUUCCCUAUGUCCCCUCCUACCUAUCUGGCUGCCCUCAUCCCUUAAAUGGUAAAAACCUGGUUGGUUUCAUUCACUUCCAUGACUGCAGUUACUAUUACAUUCACUGUUUUUUUUUAAGUUCCCAGAUCCUGAGUUCUGUGCUGGUUUGGUCAUUUGCCUACCAAGCAUCUCAUAUGUACAUCCCAAAGGCACCACGACCUCAACAUGUCUGAAUGAAACUUAUCACCUUCCUUCAAAAUAUGCUCCUUUCCUUGGGCUCCAGGUGAAUGACACCAAUGGCCACCCAUACAUCUGCUCUAGAAACCUGGCCACCACCUUUAUUUCUCCAUACCUCUCACCCCUUAUUCAAUCAGGUCUACAGUCUGUCCAUUCAACCUUGUAACUCUCACUUCCAUGUAUUUUAUCACCGUUCCUUUCCUACUUCAGGCUAUCACCACUUCAACCCUGGGUCAGAAUAACCACCUCUGAGCAGUCUUCCUGCCUGCCCCGCCCCCACCUCUCCCAACUCCAUUACUUUCUUUUUGUUUUUUUAUAGAUUUAAAAAAAAAUUUUAAAGAUAUAUAGAUCAUACAAAAUGUUACCUUAAAAAAUAUAAGAGGAUCCCAUAUACCUCUAUAUCCCUCCCCACCCAUUCUUCCCACAUCACCAAGUUCUUUCAUCAUUGGAUUACAUUCAUUGCAUUUGAUGAAUACAGUUUGGAGCACUGCUAAACCACAUGGAUUAUAGUUUAUGUUGUAGUUUACACUCUCCCCCAGUCCAUUCAGUGGGUUAUGGCAGGAUAUACGAUGUCCUGCA
ensembl:lincRNA